rnacentral:rRNA from 1 species
AACGCGAAGAACCUUACCAGGUCUUGACAUCCUUAUGCCAUCCCUAGAGAUAGGGCUUUCCCUUCGGGGACAUAAGUGACAGGUGGUGCAUGGUUGUCGUCAGCUCGUGUCGUGAGAUGUUGGGUUAAGUCCCGCAACGAGCGCAACCCUUGAUCUUAGUUGCCAGCAUUCAGUUGGGCACUCUAAGGUGACUGCCGGUGACAAACCGGAGGAAGGUGGGGAUGACGUCAAAUCAUCAUGCCCCUUAUGACCUGGGCUACACACGUGCUACAAUGGAUGGUACAAAGGGCAGCGAAACCGCGAGGUUAAGCCAAUCCCAUAAAACCAUUCUCAGUUCGGAUUGCAGGCUGCAACUCGCCUGCAUGAAGCCGGAAUCGCUAGUAAUCGCGGAUCAGCAUGCCGCGGUGAAUACGUUCCCGGGCCUUGUACACACCG